rnacentral:tRNA from 1 species
GCUGGGCUAGCUCAGUCGAUAAAGCCUGAGACUCUUAAUCUCGGGGUUGUGGGUUCCAGCCCCACGUUGGGCA